CUUGAACGCUGGCGGCAGGCCUAACACAUGCAAGUCGAACGAGUGGCGGACGGGUGAGUAAUGUCUGGGAAACUGCCUGAUGGAGGGGGAUAACUCCUGGAAACGGUAGCUAAUACCGCAUACCAUCGGAUGUGCCCAGAUGGGAUUAGCUAGUCGGUGGGGUAAAGGCUCACCUAGGCGACGAUCCCUAGCUGGUCUGAGAGGAGGACCAGCCACACUGGAACUGAGACACGGUCCAGACUCCUACGGAAGGCAGAAGUGGGGAAUAUUGCACAAUGGGCGCAAGCCGGAUGCAGCCAUCCCGCGUGUAUGAAGAAGGCCUUCGGGUUGUAAAGUACUUUCAGCGGGGAGGCGUUACCCGCAGAAGAAGCACCGGCUAACUCCGUGCCAGCAGCCGCGGUAAUAC
rnacentral:rRNA from 1 species